GAGUAUGGUUGGAACUAGUCAGUGUUGCUAACUACUUAUUACCGCGGUUCAAUUCCGUGGCCCACUCG
rnacentral:tRNA from 1 species